GCUAUUCCUGUUGUUUCGUAACAUCUAUCAAAUAAAGCAUAUUGAGCUUUUGGCUGCAUUUGGGAGAAAACUCCCCAAUAUUCCUGAUACCUCUAAAUUAGUUGAGGCAAAUGCGAAUGGACAGUAGACAUAUUCCAAACUUGAGCACCACAAGAACACCGGGCCAAGACAUGAUCCACAUUUUCUUUAAUUCAUAUCUUGUUACUUUUUCUAUUUGCAUGAACCAUCCAUUCAUAUGUUAUAUGCUGAACGAUGCAAUUAUAGCAAUUUGAC
rnacentral:lncRNA from 1 species